rnacentral:rRNA from 1 species
GGGUCAGUAGGUUGGUCGUGCCACCGGUACGUACUGGUCUCACUGAUUCCUCCUUCCUGAUGAGCUGUAAUGCCAUUAAUUUGGUGUUGCAGGGAAUCUGGACUUGUUACUUUGAAAAUUAGAGUGUUUAAAGCAGGCUAACGCUUGAAUACAUUAGCAUGGAAUAAUGAAAUAGGACGUUCGAUCCUAUUUUGUUGGUUUCUAGGAUUGACGUAAUGAUUA